rnacentral:rRNA from 1 species
GCGACCCCCAGGUCAGGCG